rnacentral:rRNA from 1 species
UACGAGGGGGGCAAAUGUUGUUCGGAAUCCCUGGGCGUAAAGGGAGCGUAGGCGGGUUCUUAAGUUAGGUGUUUAAUCCCGGGGCCCAACCCCGGACCGGCACUUAAAACUGGGAAUCUUGAAUAGUGGAGAGGUCAGUGGAAUUGGGGGUGUAGCGGUGGAAUGCGUAGAGAUGCGGAGGAACACCAGUGGCGAAAGCGACUUUCUGGUCCUUAACUGACGCUGAGGCGCGAAAGCAUGGGGAGCGAACGGG